rnacentral:miRNA from 1 species
UUUCAUCUUUUGAUCCUAUG